CUGCUGCGAUAACGGCGGCAGCGUAAGCACCCACACGAGUAGAUAAGCACAACCGCACCAUACAGGCAAGUUUCCUGCGGCCUGCUCGUACCACGCGUGCCCACAGAUUCGCAUUGCAGCAUCAUCCAGUGUAUUGCUCCCUUCUAAAAAGCGAUCUUUUCCCGCCUUCUGUCUCCUUUUCUUUUCUGUAUGUGCCCCGGAGGAGGUCGUCGAGGGCGGAACCGUUGCGUUAUUGGUGAGGUCUUGUGGUGGGAUCGAAUACAUUAACAUUUUGCACCUCAUCCCCUUUUUGGGUAUGCGUGCAUGUCCAAGCUUCUCUCGUUUGAUGCAGACGAACCCCUACCCAAGCAUACGUAUAUAUUUUAAGGAGAGAGAAGCGUUGUGUUGUGAGGAGCACCUCCGCCUUGCCUUGCUCUUUAUAUGUUUCCUUCUCUCCUUUUCCCUGGGCUCCUUCACGUGCACCCACUUGGAUGUGCGAAUCAUUUGCUUCGCUUAUGUGCUCUCCAGUUGCAUGACUAGUUCGUCCGUCCAGAGCUCCAUUGCCUGCUCAAAAGCAACACAACAGAUGAUUUACUACAAAAAAAAGGGGAGGUAGAGAGCGUGUCGGCAGAGAAAC
rnacentral:misc_RNA from 1 species